AGAGUUUGAUCCUGGCUCAGGAUGAACGCUGGCGGCGUGCCUAACACAUGCAAGUCGAACGAAGCGCCUUUUGAGAUUCUUCGGAUGAUUGAUUGGUGACUGAGUGGCGGACGGGUGAGUAACGCGUGGGUAACCUGCCCUGUACAGGGGGAUAACAGCUGGAAACGGCUGCUAAUACCGCAUAAGCGCAUGAGGAGACAUCUCCUUGUGUGAAAAACUCCGGUGGUACAGGAUGGGCCCGCGUCUGAUUAGCUGGUUGGCAGGGUAACGGCCUACCAAGGCAACGAUCAGUAGCCGGUCUGAGAGGAUGAACGGCCACAUUGGAACUGAGACACGGUCCAAACUCCUACGGGAGGCAGCAGUGGGGAAUAUUGCACAAUGGGGGAAACCCUGAUGCAGCAACGCCGCGUGAGUGAAGAAGUAUUUCGGUAUGUAAAGCUCUAUCAGCAGGGAAGAUAAUGACGGUACCUGACUAAGAAGCUCCGGCUAAAUACGUGCCAGCAGCCGCGGUAAUACGUAGGGAGCAAGCGUUGUCCGGAUUUACUGGGUGUAAAGGGUGCGUAGGCGGCUUUGCAAGUCAGAUGUGAAAUCUAUGGGCUCAACCCAUAAACUGCAUUUGAAACUGUAGAGCUUGAGUGAAGUAGAGGCAGGCGGAAUUCCCCGUGUAGCGGUGAAAUGCGUAGAGAUGGGGAGGAACACCAGUGGCGAAGGCGGCCUGCUGGGCUUUAACUGACGCUGAGGCACAAAAGCGUGGGUAGCAAACAGGAUUAGAUACCCUGGUAGUCCACACCGUAAACGAUGAUUACUAGGUGUUGGAGGAUUGACCCCUUCAGUGCCGCAGUUAACACAAUAAGUAAUCCACCUGGGGAGUACGACCGCAAGGUUGAAACUCAAAGGAAUUGACGGGGGCCCGCACAAGCAGUGGAGUAUGUGGUUUAAUUCGACGCAACGCGAAGAACCUUACCAAGUCUUGACAUCCCUUGACGAUGCUGGAAACAGCAUUUCUCUUCGGAGCAAGGAGACGGGUGGUGCAUGGUUGUCGUCAGCUCGUGUUGUGAGAUGUUGGGUUAAGUCCCGCAACGAGCGCGACCCUUAUGGUCAGUUACUACGCAAGAGGACUCUGGCGAGACUGCCGUUGACAAAACGGAGGAAGGUGGGGAUGACGUCAAAUCAUCAUGCCCUUUAUGACCUGGGCUACACACGUACUACAAUGGCGUUUAACAAAGAGAAGCAAGACCGCGAGGUGGAGCAAAACUCAAAAACAACGUCUCAGUUCAGAUUGCAGGCUGCAACUCGCCUGCAUGAAGUCGGAAUUGCUAGUAAUCGCGGAUCAGCAUGCCGCGGUGAAUACGUUCCCGGGCCUUGCACACACCGCCCGUCA
rnacentral:rRNA from 1 species